rnacentral:rRNA from 1 species
ACAGUACUUAGCUCAAACCCAAUAAAUUAAAACUACUUAAACCAUGAUAAAACAAAACAUUUAUGUUUUCAAAGUAUAGGAGAUAGAAAUUUACCUUUGAAGCUAUAGAGAAAGUACCGUAAGGGAAUAAAACAUAAUAUACCAAAGUACAAAACAGCAAAGCUUACCCCUUGUACCUUUUGCAUAAUGAGUUAACUAGACUAAGCUUAGCAAAAUGAAUUUAAGUUAAACCCCCCGAAACUAGACGAGCUAUCUAUAAACAGUCUCUCCAGGACUAACCCAUCUAUGUAGCAAAAUAGUGGGAAGAUUAAUAGAUAGAGGUGACAAGCCUACCGAGCCUAGUGAUAGCUGGUUGUCCAGAAAAGAAUUUAAGUUCACAUUUAAAUAUACCAAAAACAACAGAAUUCUAAUGUAUAUUUAAAUAUUAAUCUUUAGGGGUACAGCCCUAAAGAUAAAGGAUUCAACCUUAAUUAGAGAGUAAGAACUUAAAAACAACUAUAGUUGGCCUAAAAGCAGCCAUCAAUAAAGAAAGCGUUCAAGCUCAACAAACUCAAUAGUACUAAUACCUAACCUAAUAUCCACCUCCUAACAUCAUAACUGGACUAAUCUAUUCAUACAUAGAAGCAAUAAUGUUAACAUGAGUAACAAGAAUAACUUCUCCCUGCAUAAGUGUAUAUCAGACCGAAUUAAUCGCUGAUAGUUAACAAAAACAAAUAAAAUUACACCACAAGACAUUUACCUAACAUUAUGUUAAUCCAACACAGGCAUGCUACAGGGAAAGAUUAAAAUGAGUAAAAGGAAUUCAGCAAACAUAAGCCUCGCCUGUUUACCAAAAACAUCACCUCUAGCAUUCAUAGUAUUAGAGGCACUGCCUGCCCAGUGACACCAGUUCAACGGCCGCGGUAUCCUGACCGUGCAAAGGUAGCAUAAUCACUUGUUCUCUAAAUAGGGACUUGUAUGAACGGCCACACGAAGGCUUUACUGUCUCUUACUCCCAAUCAGUGAAAUUGACCUCUCCGUGAAGAGGCGGAAAUAAAAAAAUAAGACGAGAAGACCCUAUGGAGCUUUAAUUAAUUAAUUCAAGAGUUAGAAAAUUAUAAAUCGAACCGACUUAACCCUAUUCUCUCAUGAAUUAACAAUUUAGGUUGGGGUGACCUCGGAGCAUAACAUACCCUCCGAGAAAUUACAAAUUUAGACAAACUAGUCAAAAUAAAUACAUUAACUGAUCCAAAACAAUUUGAUCAACGGAACAAGUUACCCUAGGGAUAACAGCGCAAUCCUAUUUAAGAGUCCCUAUCGAUAAUGGGGUUUACGACCUCGAUGUUGGAUCAGGACAUCCUAAUGGUGCAGCAGCUAUUAAGGGUUCGUUUGUUCAACGAUUAAAGUCCUACGUGAUCUGAGUUCAGACCGGAGUAAUCCAGGUCGGUUUCUAUCUAUUUUAUGUUUCUCCCAGUACGAAAGGACCAGAGAAACGGGGCCCACUUCAAAUCAGCGCCCUAAGUAAACAGAUGAUAAAUUCUUAAUCUGAAAAAAACUAUAAAUAAUACUACCCUAAACCAGGGUUU